GUCGGCAGGGGAGAUGUCUGAGUUAAGCUAUCACCUGCACCAGAGUCCAGCAGCAUCUGCUCUUGAAGCAAGUUCAUGUUGUGAAAAUGAGGCCAGAGGUGCAAAAGAAAUGAAGUUAUUCAAUAUGUGGCCUUCUAAAUGAAUGGAUCUAGAGGAUAUCAUCCUGAGUGAGUGACUUGUGUUAUAAGACUGAAAUUGAAGCUACCUUGGCUGUAUGAGAGGCCCAACAAGCAGCUGACUGAGACAGAUGCA